CCUUCAGUUAGGCUGGAUCGGAGACAGGUGCUGCAUGGCUGUCGUCAGCUCGUGUCGUGAGAUGUUGGGUUAAGUCCCGCAACGAGCGCAACCCUCGCCCUUAGUUGCCAGCAUUCAGUUGGGCACUCUAGGGGGACUGCCGGUGAUAAGCCGAGAGGAAGGUGGGGAUGACGUCAAGUCCUCAUGGCCCUUACGGGCUGGGCUACACACGUGCUACAAUGGUGGUGACAGUGGGCAGCGAGACCGCGAGGUCGAGCUAAUCUCCAAAAGCCAUCUCAGUUCGGAUUGCACUCUGCAACUCGAGUGCAUGAAGUUGGAAUCGCUAGUAAUCGUGGAUCAGCAUGCCACGGUGAAUACGUUCCCGGGCCUUGUACACACCGCCCGUCACACCAUGGGAGUUGGUUUUACCCGAAGGUGCUGUGCUAACCGCAAGGAGGC
rnacentral:rRNA from 1 species